UACGUAGGGUGCGAGCGUUGUCCGGAAUUAUUGGGCGUAAAGGGCUCGUAGGCGGUUUGUCGCGUCGGGAGUGAAAUCAUCUGGCUUAACUGGGUGCUUGCUUUCGAUACGGGCAGACUAGAGGUAUGCAGGGGAGAACGGAAUUCCUGGUGUAGCGGUGAAAUGCGCAGAUAUCAGGAGGAACACCGGUGGCGAAGGCGGUUCUCUGGGCAUGAUCUGACGCUGAGGAGCGAAAGUGUGGGGAGCGAACAGG
rnacentral:rRNA from 1 species